GAUGAACGCUGGCGGCGUGCUUAACACAUGCAAGUCGAACGGUGCCGGCGGAGCUUGCUCUGCUGGAUCAGUGGCGACCGGGUGAGUAACACGUGAGCAAUCUGCCCCUGACUCUGGGAUAAGCGCUGGCCACGGCGUCUCAUCCUGGCUACGAGCUGCGAAGGCAUCUUCAGCCGCUGGAAAGAAUUUCGGUCAGGGAUGAGCUCGCGGCCUAUCAGCUUGUUGGUGAGGUAAUGGCUCACCAAGGCGACGACCGGUAGCCGGCCUGCGAGGGUGAGCGGCCACACUGGGACUGAGAUAAGGCCCAGACUCCUACGGGAGGCAGCGGUGGGGAAUAGUGCACAAUAGGAGGAACCCUGGUGUAGCAACGCCGCGUGGGGGACGACAGCCUUCGGGUUGUAUACCUCUGUUAGCAGAGAAGAAGCGAAAGUGACGGUACCGGCAGAAAAAGCGCCGGCUAACUACGUG
rnacentral:rRNA from 1 species